GAAAUGCGAUAAGUAGUGUGAAUUGCAGAAUUCAGUGAAUCAUCGAAUCUUUGAACGCACAUUGCGCCCCUUGGUAUUCCAUGGGGCAUGCCUGUUCGAGCGUCAUUUGUACCCUCAAGCUCUGCUUGGUGUUGGGUGGUUGUCCCCGUCUCCGCGCGUGGACUCGACCCAAAGUGAUUGGCAGCCGGCGUACUGGUCCCGGAGCGCAGCACAUGUCGCGCAAACGAGUGCCUUGGUACGGCGGCGUCCAUAAGCCCCUCUCUCACGCUCUUGACCUCGGAUCAGGUAGGGAUACCCGCUGAACUUAAGC
rnacentral:misc_RNA from 1 species